AUUGAACGCUGGCGGCAUGCCUUACACAUGCAAGUCGAACGGUAACGGGCCUUCGGGUGCCGACGAGUGGCGAACGGGGGAGUAAUACAUCGGAACGUGCCCGAUCGUGGGGGAUAACGAGGCGAAAGCUUUGCUAAUACCGCAUACGAUCUACGGAUGAAAGCAGGGGACCGCAAGGCCUUGCGCGGACGGAGCGGCCGAUGGCAGAUUAGGUAGUUGGUGGGAUAAAAGCUUACCAAGCCGACGAUCUGUAGCUGGGCUGAGAGGAUGAUCAGCCACACUGGGACUGAGACACGGCCCAGACUCCUACGGGAGGCAGCAGUGGGGAAUUUUGGACAAUGGGCGCAAGCCUGAUCCAGCCAUGCCGCGUGCAGGAUGAAGGCCUUCGGGUUGUAAACUGCCUUUGUACGGAACGAAAAGCCUUCUUUUAAUACAGGAGGGUCAUGACGGUACCGUAAGAAUAAGCACCGGCUAACUACGUG
rnacentral:rRNA from 1 species